rnacentral:piRNA from 1 species
UGAAAUAGCUUUAUUGAUUGG